AGAGUGCCAAGAAAAGUGUUCCUGAACAUGAGGAAAGGUAUAUUUUGAUGUUUCACAUGUUUAUAUCGUCUUAAGAUGUUUAUUUUUUGCAAGUUUGUCAAUGCAGAAAAAUACAUCUGUGACGAUGUUUUGUAUUUAAAAUUGUCAUUUCUUCAAUUGAUGUAAAUGUACAAGCACAAAGUUGAUAUUUCUCAAAACUUUUUCAACGUUUUUGUAAAUCUCCAUUUUUAACCUGAGGAUUCGAAAACUGCUAAAUGAAAUUGAGGACCUCAAAAUAUGUUUGGAAGAAGAAAGAAUUAAUCACAAAUCCCAGUUUCAACAGUUUGUGGAAAAUACCAUAAUAAAUAUACAGAUCAUGGUGCAAGAGCACAAAGAUCAUAUAAAGAUGAUUGAGGAACAACAUUUGAUUGACAUAGAAAAUUUAAAAGAAUCCUGCUGAGGCAAAGCUGAAUGAAGAAAGGGAACUUGCCAAUUCUACAUCAGUCAAAAUGCAAAAUGAAAUUGAUUUAGUUCGUGCCAGUUUGGAAAGUUGCAAGCACGACGUAUCUAUUGAGUUGAAAAAGCGAUGGUCAGAAAGAAAUGAGGAACUAAAAUCUGAGCAAGAAGUUAUGAUAGAAAGACUUCUCACUGAGCAGAAGUCUAAACUGAAAAGAGAAGAGGCUGUAGCUGUGAAGAAAGUGAAGGGACGGCAUGCCGAAGAUAUUAAAAUGAUUAAAGAAGAACAUCGCAAAGAACUGAAUGCACUUCGUUGUGAGUUUGAAGCGUUCGCUGCUGAAGCUGAACAAUACAAAAUUCUUGCUUUGGAAUCCGAGAAUCUCAAAGAAGAUAUGCGAGAUCUUCAACAACUUCACGAGAAAACAGAACAAAAAUUGAGAAAAACCUUAAAUGAACUUGCCGACGUGAAAUUAAAACUUCAAGGAUACGAAAUGAGUUUUUCGGAAAAGGUUGCCGAAGUUGAAGAACGUUAUGCGAUGAAGAUUCAGCGCCUAAUCUUAAAUAACACAGAUCUAAGACACAACUAUAUGAAGAAAUGUGCAGAACUAUUGGGUGUUCAGAACAAAGAUAAUACAACGACGAAUUCCAAGGCUAUGAAAGUUAGUAACACAAAAGAACAAUGAAGACGAUCAUUUUAGCUCGUGCGAGAGCUGAUAUUAGUUUGGUUACAGAGAUGAAGAAUGUCAUUAUAGGAGAUAUAUCUUCAAAGGGUUCUACCACUGGUACAUCGUCAUUGUCGUCAAGGCGACCGCGUAGUGCCCCACUCAUUAAAUCAUUUAGAGAGAAUGAUGUCGAUGGAAACUUAUUUUUGACUCUUUCUGAGUUUCGCAAGUUCCGACCAAGUUCAAGUUUUGCUUAAGUCCGGGACUCCACCUGCGAAUAUAUCGUCAUCUUCUCUACCCCAAUCUAAAUAUUUGUUGGAAAAACCGUUGACUUCUUCAUAGUGUUCCUUCCACAUCGCUUCAAAGUCUCCGAAAAUUGCUGAGUUUGGCAACCUGCACAAAGUGUAACAAUUUGCUAAGUCUUGGAAUGUUGUGGAGAAUGAAAGGCCUUGACGUGAUGGAGUGAAUUCAGUAAGUCAUUACAUAGCGAUUGUGAGCAAGGAUUUUUCUCCUUUAGUUAAUAAUAUUUCCUUAAAACUUUAGUUGGUUUCACUGGAGAAAUGAAAAUUAUUGUACUAAUUACUUCUUUUUCUUGUCAUUGUUACAUUUUACUAUUGAUUUACAUGAAUGUAAAUCGAUUUAUUGAAUUACUUGAGUACAUACAUGUAUGUGUGAGUACAUACAUUAGAGUAUGAGUGCACACAUGUAUGUGCGAGUAAAUACAUGUAUGUAUGCAAAACAUAUUUGAUAAACGAAGUUUUCAUACCGAUAGAAGAACUUGUUUACCGCUGGACACAUGUAUUGUGGAGAAGUUGGACAAUUGUACAUAUUUUUGUCGCUCUCGGAAUGAAGGUCCACCUCGUGAAACAUAAAAAUUUGAUAGAUGUUAUACUUUUGAGCUUCUUUGAAACCAUUAUUGAAUAGUAUAGUAACAGUAUAGUCAUGUAUGCGAUCGAUAGCUUUAAGUUUGCAUAUAACGUUCAUGCAUGAUUAGUGAAGCCGGUCAUCAGGAUUUUUUUAAGUUCCGAUUUUUUAUUCACUGCAUGCAUGAUACGCGUAAAAAGCACUGAGCAGAAGUGAAAAGUGAAAAAUCUAUAUAAGCUCAUUAAUAUGAUGAUUUGAGUCAAUGCACCUUCUUGAGAGCUAUUUAAUAAAAAAAUCCAGUGUUCAAACGACGAAUAUUUAUUACCCUAGUUUAAAUUGUCCAAAAACAAACAAAUGUAAUUUUUAUACAUGUAUAAAGCUAUAAUUUGUAUCCGGACAUCACUUUUUUUGCAAAUUAUUAAACGCGUCAGAUAUUUUUAA